GACGUAGGGCGCAAGCGUUGUCCGGAUUUAUUGGGCGUAAAGAGCUCGUAGGCGGCUUGUCGCGUCGACUGUGAAAACCCGCGGCUCAACCGUGUGGUCUGCAGUCGAUACGGGCAGGCUAGAGUUCGGUAGGGGGAGACUGGAAUUCCUGGUGUAGCGGUGAAAUGCGCAGAUAUCAGGAAGAACACCUAUGGCGAAGGCAGCACUCUGGGACGGUACUGACGCUGAGACGCGAAAGCGUGGGGAGCGAACAGG
rnacentral:rRNA from 1 species